GACGAACGCUGGCGGCGUGCUUAACCCAUGCAAGUCGAACGGAAAGGCUCUGCUUUUGUGGGGUGCUCGAGUGGCGAACGGGUGAGUAACACGUGAGUAACCUGCCCUUGACUUUGGGAUGACUUCAGGAAGCUGGGGCUAAUACCGGCUAGGAGCUCCUGCUGCAAGGUGGGGGUUGGAAAGUUUCGCCGGGUGUGGAUGGACUCGAGGCUUAUCAGCUUGUUGGUGGGGUAGUGGCUUACCAAGGCUUUGGCGGGUAGCCGGCCUGAGGGGGUGACCGGCCACAUUGGGACUGAGGGACGGCCCAGACUCCUACGGGAGGCAGCAGUGGGGAAUAUUGCACAGUGGGCGGAAGCCUGAUGCAGCAACGCCGCGUGCGGGAUGACGGCCUUCGGGUUGUAAACCGCUUUCGCCUGUGACGAAGCGUGAGUGACGGUAAUGGGUAAAGAAGCACCGGCUAACUACGUG
rnacentral:rRNA from 1 species